UCCCUUAUGGCUUAGCUGGUAAAGAAUCUGCCUGCAAUGCAGGAGACCUGGGUUUGAUCCCUGGGUUGGGAA
rnacentral:tRNA from 1 species